CAGCCGCCACGUUAAUACAGAGGGUGCGAGCGUUAAUCGGAUUUACUGGGCGUAAAGCGUGCGUAGGCGGCUUCUUAAGUCGGAUGUGAAAUCCCUGAGCUUAACUUAGGAAUUGCAUUCGAUACUGGGAAGCUAGAGUAUGGGAGAGGAUGGUAGAAUUCCAGGUGUAGCGGUGAAAUGCGUAGAGAUCUGGAGGAAUACCGAUGGCGAAGGCAGCCAUCUGGCCUAAUACUGACGCUGAGGUACGAAAGCAUGGGGAGCAAACAGGAUUAGAUACCCCAGUAGUCCCUGUCUCUUAUAC
rnacentral:rRNA from 1 species